AUAAUACUCCCUCCGUCCAGAAUUACUUGUCAUCAAAAUGGAUGUGUCUAGAACUAAAAUACAUCUCUAUACAUCCAUUUCAAUGACAAGUAUUUUCGGACGGAGGGAGUAGUAG
rfam:Triticum aestivum genome assembly, contig: Triticum_aestivum_CS42_TGACv1_scaffold_222025_3B